rnacentral:lncRNA from 1 species
UCAUAAUUUCGAAACCCAAGUUUAAUUCAAGUUGUUUAUACUUUCUUCAUAUCGUUCUUCAUCUCUUUCUAAAUCACCACAAAAAGAACAUUCUGUCUAAUAUUUACAUAAAUGUAAUUUCCAUUGUUGUUCUCAUAUGUUGUUCGUCUGCCAAAGAUCCAGCUCCGGAAACUCCAAACAUGCGAGCAACUAAAACCUUUGGAAGAUUAAGCUUCAUGGGGAAGAGUUGACAAUGGUCCAAAGAAAUCAUCAUCUUACGGAACAUGGACCGGUGAUAGAAGAAGGCUAGAUUCAAAUAGUUGAUUUGGUAUAAUCCAUAAAUUAUUUUUUCUACAAAUUAAUUCUUUUUACUGUAACCUUAAGUCAUCGAUGAAUCUUUUGUUCCUCUUUCUUCUGUUUUUGUACAUGAUGAUUAGGAAGUUGACCAAGAUGAGAACAAAGAGAGAGUGAUGAAAGAGAAAC